GAGCCAGACUCCUACGGGAGGCCGCAGUGAGGCCUCUUGGUCAAUGGCCGGGAGGCUGCACCAGCCAAGUCGCGUGAGGGAAGACGGCCCUACGGGUGGUACCCCUCUUUUGUCAGGGCGCAAGGUGCAGGUCGGGACCUGCUGUGAGAGUACCUGAAGAAAAAGCAUCGGCUCCCUCCGUGCCCGCAGCCGCGGUAAUACGGAGGAUGCGAGCGUUAUCCGGAUUUAGGGGGUUUAAAGGGUGCGGAGGCGGGUGAGCAAGUCAGCGGGAAAAUCGUGGAGCGCAACGCCAGCCAGCCGGGGAAACGGAGGAGCUGGAGGGGGCGAGAAGGAGGCGGAAGGCGUGGGGGAGCGGUGAAAGGCAGAGAUAUCACGCAGAACUCCGAGGGCGAAGGCAGCAUACCGGCGCCCGACUGACGCUGAAGCACGAAAGCGGGGGUAUCGAACAGGAGUAGAGACCCCAGUA
rnacentral:rRNA from 1 species